rnacentral:rRNA from 1 species
AUUGAACGCUGGCGGCAUGCCUUACACAUGCAAGUCGAACGGCAGCACGGGUGCUUGCACCUGGUGGCGAGUGGCGAACGGGUGAGUAAUACAUCGGAACAUGUCCUGUAGUGGGGGAUAGCCCGGCGAAAGCCGGAUUAAUACCGCAUACGAUCUACGGAUGAAAGCGGGGGACCUUCGGGCCUCGCGCUAUAGGGUUGGCCGAUGGCUGAUUAGCUAAUUGGUGGGGUAAAGGCCUACCAAGGCGACGAUCAGUAGCUGGUCUGAGAGGACGACCAGCCACACUGGGACUGAGACACGGCCCAGACUCCUACGGGAGGCAGCAGUGGGGAAUUUUGGACAAUGGGCGAAAGCCUGAUCCAGCAAUGCCGCGUGUGUGAAGAAGGCCUUCGGGUUGUAAAGCACUUUUGUCCGGAAAGAAAUCCUUGGCCCUAAUACGGUCGGGGGAUGACGGUACCGGAAGAAUAAGCACCGGCUAACUACGUG